rnacentral:lncRNA from 13 species
UGUAUGGCGGUAAUGGAUAUGGCUCACAGCCAAUGAAUGGCUACAGGACAAAUGGUGCCUAUGCCAGGGCUGGUCUUGGCCUGGGUGGAAGCCUCUCGGCUGGAUACUCUAAUGGAGGAGGCCAAAAAAGACCCACGCGGGGUUACGGCGGUCCCAAUGGACAAGGUGUUAAACCCAAUGGUUAUGGUGCUCCUGCAGCUGUGCCAAAUGGAAAUGGUGCUAAAAAAAACAAAGGCUAUGGUGCUGGAGCUGAUGUGCCAAAUGGACAAGGUGCCAAACCCAAUGGUUAUAGUGCUGGAGCUGGUGUACCCAAUGGACAAGGAGCUAAACCCAAUGGUUAUGGUGCUGGAGCUGGUGUGUCCAAUGGACAAGGAGCUAAUGGUUAUGGAAAUGGAUCACCUCAACCUCAAAAUACUAAAGGUGUCGGAGCAGGUGCACCCAUUGGAGGAACUGAAGCGUCCAAGGGAGGAGCUAAAGCACCAAAUGGUGGGUAUGGUGUUCCUGCUGGUGUACCCAAUGGACAUUUGGCUAAAGUAGUCAAUACUGGUUACGGCAUGCCAAAUGGAUACAGCAUGUCAAAUGGUCAGGGUACUAAAGGUGUUGGUGCACCGAAUGGAAAGGGCCCCAAAGGUGAAGUUCUUACUCCUGAAGCACUAAACCUUGCACCGGCACCUGAGCCAGGAUUUGUAGUACCUGAGCCAACAAAGGGUGUAGCUCUAAUCUUUCCACAAGGGAAGACAUACCCUAAGCCAGCACCAGUUCCACAAGGGAAGCUUUUCACUAAGCCAGUACCUAUAGUACCACAGGCAAAGAGUCCAAAGACAGUGCCAGAGCCAGCACCGGUUCCACAAGGAAAGACAUACGCUAAGCCAGCACCAAAGCUAGCACCUGUCGUUCCACAAGGAAAGCCGUGCCCUAACAAAGCACCAGCGGCAGCACCAGUUCCACAAGGGAAGACAUACCCGAAGCCAGCCCCAAAGCCAGCAGCUGUAGUACCACAGGCAAAGAGUCCGAAGCCAGCGCCGGUUCCACAAGGGAUGCCGUACCCUGAGCCAGCACCUGUUGUUUCACAAGGGAAGCCGUACCCUGAGCCAGCACCUGUCGUUUCACAAGGGAAGCCGUACCCUGAGCCAGCACCUGUCGUUUCACAAUGGAAGCCGUACCCUGAGCCAGCACCUGUCGUUUCACAAUGGAAGCCGUACCCUGAGCCAGCACCUGUCGUUUCACAAGGAAAGACGUACCCUAAACUAGCACCAGAGCCAGCCUCACAGGCAAAAAGUCCAAAGCCAGUGGCACCAGCCGUGCCUCAAGGAAAGAGUCCCAAAGUACCAGAUAUGGGUAAAACUCUACUAUUCUCUGCAUGUCCAUGA